UACCCAAUGCGAUGGUAUUUAGGAGGAGGGGUCUUUGGGAGGUAAUUAAAUCAUGAGGGUGUAGCCCUCUGGACAGGAUUAGUGCCCUUAUAAGACACACAAGAAGGAGGCUCUCUGCUACAUGAGGAUAUAAUGAGAAGGCAGCCAUCUGCAAACCAGGAAGAGAGCCCUUACCAAGAGGUGAAUCUGCAGGCACCUGAUCUUGAACUUCCAGUCUCCAGAACUAUGAGAAACGAAUUUCUGUUGUUUAAAUUUCCCAGUCUGUGGUUAUCUGUUAGAACCACUCAAACUAAGACAGUCCCUUCUGUUUUUUAUUAUAUUGCAAUCUUCCUAAGACUGUGUAUUUCUCCAUUUUAACACACAUUCACACCUUCCUCCCCAUUUUCCUUUCAUUGAUCCCUUCAUCAUUUAAUUUGGCAUUUUGUACGAUUUUUUCUUGCUUUUCAGUUCUUUGUGUUUUCUACAGCAGUGAAUUAUGAAUUCUCUUCAUAAUGCGCUAUAUUUUUGUUGACGCCCGUUUUUAAUUUUUCAACUGCCUUUUAUUUUAUUUUUAAUUUUUUUAACAUUUAUUUUUGAGAGACAGAGACAGAACAUGAGCAUGGGAGGGGCAGAGAGAGGAGGAAACACAGAAUCGAAGCAGGCUCCAGGCUCUGAGCCGUCAGCACAGAGCCCGACAUGGGGCUUGAACUCACAAACCGCGAUAUCAUGACCUGAGCCAAAGUCGGACAUUUAACCACUGAGCCACCCAGGUGCCCCUCAACCGCCUUUUAUAGUUUCAUUUAUUUUUAUUUUCCCUCAUCUCUCAUUUUGUCUUCAUGAUUUAUGGUAUAAACUUUAUUUCUAAUCUUUGUGCCAUUAUUAUUAUUAUUAUUAUUAUUAUUAUUAUUAUUAUUAUUAUUUAGAGAAAGGGUGCCAGUGAGCAAGGGGCAGAAAAAAAUCCCACAAGGAGCAGAGAAGGAGAGAAAGUAGUGGGGCUCACCUGAAGCGGGGCUUGUGUUUUUCACCUGAAGCAGGGCUCGAACUCACCCAAGAUGGGGCUCAAAUUCACCAAGAGAUCAUGAGAUCAUGACCUGAGCCAAAGUUAGAUGCUUAAUGACAGCCACCCAGGCUCCCUAAGCUUUGUGCCUUUUGAAAUUAACGUCUCAUUUAUUGUUUUCUGUGUUCUAUUGUUUCUUUUAACCUGCUCUCUCCCCUGUUGCAAUCCUCCUGUUCUAUUUCUCUUUACUUGCAUAUUUAUCAGAUCCUCCAGGAUUUCUUUGUUCACUCUUCAACUCCUCUCACUUCACUACUGGUGGCUAACUUUGCACCAGGUGUAUCCUCUCUGUGCUACCCCCUCGUGCCUCCUUGCCAUUAGAACUUUGCUUCUCUCCCAUUCUGUGAUUUAAAAAAAAUUUUUUUAAUGUUUAUUUAUUUUUGACAGAGAGAGAGACAGAGCAUGAGUGGAGGGAGGGGCAGAAAGAGAGAGACACAGAAUCCGGAGCAGGCUCCAGGCUCUGAGCUGUCAGCACAGAGACCAACGUGGGGCUCGAACUUACAGACCGCGAGAUCAUGACCUGAGCUGAGGUCCGACACUCACCGACUGAGCCACCCAGGAGCCCCUCCCACUCUGUGAUUUUUAAAGCCCCUUUUCUUAUACUAGAAAUGCACUUGGGGCCUUAUUCACCUUUGGUGCACUGAGAUGCCAUGCUGACAUGCUCCUUGUACUUCUAAUGUAUUGAGCAUAGUGACUUCUUCAAUUGCUGUCUCUGUGGUUUUUUCAUUUAUUGUUUUGCUCAUUUUCCUCUCUGAUCUCACAAUAAUUUAACACCUAUUGAACAUCUUGAAUGAGACAGCCACGCUUUGAGUUCAGAAACAGAGCUUUAAUUUAAGGAGCACAAUUUUUAUAGUGGAAGAAGCAGGAAAAUAAGCUGACAACUGAUUGAUGCUACCAUGAUGUACUUGCCAAUAAGAAAAGAAUCAGAAGGAAUCUUGUUUGAUAAGUGAAGCACACGGGACAGCACAGAGCCCGAUGCAGAACUCAAACCCACCAACCAUGAGAUCGUGACCUGAGCCGAAAUCGAGAGUCAAAUGCUUAACUAACUGAGCCCAGAGCCCAGCCCAGAGCUGGGACACAUAAAGCUAUGCUUGCAUCAAACCUACAUGGAGCCCAAGCCUGGACACCAGCUUUUCUGGUAACUAGGAAUUCUGUGAGAGUCCCAGCUUAUCUCCCAUCCAACACAGUUGGGAGGAAAGGUCUUCAUAUGCCCCUGUAAAUUCCCACAACAAUUUUAAGGCGACAAAGUAAGAAAGCCAGGACGCUCUUUUCUCCUUACUUCCCAUUUCUGGCUCCCUUUCAGCCUCCUCCCUUCUAUGAUGGGAAGCCCAGGCUGAGCCCUACCACCACCACCACCCCGUCCCCCACCCACCUACCUCCCUACCCCAUUCCCCGCUUUCU